rnacentral:rRNA from 1 species
CCUACGGGUGGCAGCAGUGGGGAAUAUUGCACAAUGGGGGAAACCCUGAUGCAGCGACGCCGCGUGAGUGAAGACGUAUCUCGGUAUGUAAAACUCUAUCUGCAGGGAAGAAAAUGACGGUACCUGUUUAAGAAGCCCCGGCUAACUACGUGCCAGCAGCCCUGGUAAUAUGUAGGGGGCAAGCGUUAUCCGGAUUUACUGGGCGUAAAGGGAGCGUAGACGGCAGCACAAGUCUGGAGUGAAAUGCCGGGGCUUAACCCCGGAACUGCUUUGGAAACUGUGCAGCUAGAGUGCAGGAGAGGUAAGUGGAAUUCCUAGUGUAGCGGUGAAAUGCGUAGAUAUUAGGAAGAACACCGGUGGCGAAGGCAGCAUACUGGACUGUAACUGACGUUGAGGCUCGAAAGCGUGGGUAGCAAACAGGAUUAGAUACCCGUGUAGUC